AUUGAACGCUGGCGGAAUGCUUUACACAUGCAAGUCGAACGAUGAAGCCUAGCUUGCUAGGUCGAUUAGUGGCGAACGGGUGAGUAAUAUAUCGGAACGUAUCCAAUCAUGGGGGAUCACUAGUCGAAAGAUUGGCUAAUACCGCAUACGUCCUACGGGAGAAAGCUGAAGAUCGUAAGCAAUGGCGUUAAUGGAGCGGCCGAUAACUGAUUAGCUAGUUGGUGAGGUAAAGGGUCACCAAGGCGACGAUCAGUAGCUGGUCUGAGAGGACGACCAGCCACACUGGAACUGAGACACGGUCCAGACUCCUACGGGAGGCAGCAGUGUGGAAUUUGGGACAAUGGGCGAAAGCCUGAUCCAGCCAUUCCGCGUGAGUGAAUAAGGCCUUCGGGUUGUAAAGCUCUUUCGCAAGGGAAGAACACUUACUUAAUAACACUAAGUGAGGUUGACGGUACCUGGAUAAGAAGCACCGGCUAACUACGUGCCAGCCGCCGCAGUAA
rnacentral:rRNA from 1 species